rnacentral:lncRNA from 1 species
UUUGUUCGGGUUAUUUCAAUUUUCGGAUUGGUGCAAUUUUAAUUCUAAAAAUAUAGUUAUUUCGGUUCGGUUUAUUCAAUUAAUUCAGUUCAAUCUUAAUAAAUAAAAAAAUCAAAUAUAAAUUUGAUUUCGAUUUGAUUUCAGCAAAACAUUGAACGGAAAUUCGGAUGCACAUCAUUAAUCAUAAAGGCCAUAAAUUGCGCACUUUGCCUUUGUUUUGUUGCUUUGUUUUGUUUGAGUCGAAAAAGG